GACAGAGGGUGCAAACGUUGCUCGGAAUUACUGGGCGUAAAGCGCGUGUAGGCGGACCACCAAGUCGGACGUGAAAUCCCUCAGCUCAACUGAGGACGUGCAUCCGAAACUGGCGAGCUUGAGUGCUGAAGAGGAUCGCGGAAUUCCCGGUGUAGAGGUGAAAUUCGUAGAUAGUCGGGAGGAACACCAGUGGCGAAGGCGGCGAUCUGGGCAGACACUGACGCUGAGGUGCGAAAGCGUGGGGAGCAAACAGG
rnacentral:rRNA from 1 species